rnacentral:rRNA from 1 species
ACGAACGCUGGCGGCGUGCUUAACACCUGCAAGUCGAACGGAAAGGCCUCUUUCGGGGGGUACUCGAGUGGCGAACGGGUGAGUAACACGUGAGUAACCUGCCCUUGACUUUGGGAUAACUUCAGGAAACUGGGGCUAAUACCGGAUAGGAGCUCCUGCUGCAUGGUGGGGGUUGGAAAGUUUCGGCGGUUGGGGAUGGACUCGCGGCUUAUCAGCUUGUUGGUGGGGUAGUGGCUUACCAAGGCUUUGACGGGUAGCCGGCCUGAGAGGGUGACCGGCCACAUUGGGACUGAGAGACGGCCCAGACUCCUACGGGAGGCAGCAGGGGGGAAUAUUGCACAAUGGGUGGAAGCCGGAUGCGGCAACGCCGUGUGCGGGAUGACGGCCUUCGGGUUGUAAACCGCUUUCGCUCAUGACGAAGCUUUGUGUGACGGUAGUGGGUAAAGAAGCACCGGCUAACUACGUG